GAGGGUAUAGCUCAGUGACAGAGUGCGUGCUUAGCAUGCAUGAGGUCCUGGGUUCAACCCCCAGUGCCUCCA
rnacentral:tRNA from 1 species